rnacentral:rRNA from 1 species
UACGUAGGGUGCGAGCGUUAAUCGGAAUUACUGGGCGUAAAGCGCGCGCAGGCGGUUUCCUAAGUCUGAUGUGAAAGCCCACGGCUCAACCGUGGAGGGUCAUUGGAAACUGGGGAACUUGAGUGCAGAAGAGAAAAGCGGAAUUCCACGUGUAGCGGUGAAAUGCGUAGAGAUGUGGAGGAACACCAGUGGCGAAGGCGGCUUUUUGGUCUGUAACUGACGCUGAGGCGCGAAAGCGUGGGGAGCAAACAGG